rnacentral:rRNA from 1 species
AGGGGAGCCGGAGGGAAACCGAGUCUUAAUUGGGCGUUAAGUUGCAGGGUAUAGACCCGAAACCCGGUGAUCUAGCCAUGGGCAGGUUGAAGGUUGGGUAACACUAACUGGAGGACCGAACCGACUAAUGUUGAAAAAUUAGCGGAUGACCUGUGGCUGGGGGUGAAAGGCCAAUCAAACCGGGAGAUAGCUGGUUCUCCCCGAAAGCUAUUUAGGUAGCGCCUCGUGAAUUCAUCUCCGGGGGUAGAGCACUGUUUCGGCUAGGGGGCCAUCCCGGCUUACCAACCCGAUGCAAACUGCGAAUACCGGAGAAUGUUAUCACGGGAGACACACGGCGGGUGCUAACGUCCGUCGUGAAGAGGGAAACAACCCAGACCGCCAGCUAAGGUCCCAAAGUCAUGGUUAAGUGGGAAACGAUGUGGGAAGGCCCAGACAGCCAGGAUGUUGGCUUAGAAGCAGCCAUCAUUUAAAGAAAGCGUAAUAGCUCACUGGUCGAGUCGGCCUGCGCGGAAGAUGUAACGGGGCUAAACCAUGCACCGAAGCUGCGGCAGCGAACGUAUCACCCAAGACAACUUUACGGAGUUGACGAUUGACGGAGCGAAGCGACGUCAAAGCGUUCAUUAAAGUCGAGUUGGCUUAGGGAUACGUUCGUUGGGUAGGGGAGCGUUCUGUAAGCCUGUGAAGGUGUGUCGUGAGGCAUGCUGGAGGUAUCAGAAGUGCGAAUGCUGACAUAAGUAACGAUAAAGCGGGUGAAAAGCCCGCUCGCCGGAAGACCAAGGGUUCCUGUCCAACGUUAAUCGGGGCAGGGUGAGUCGACCCCUAAGGCGAGGCCGAAAGGCGUAGUCGAUGGGAAACGGGUUAAUAUUCCCGUACUUGGUGUUACUGCGAAGGGGGGACGGAGAAGGCUAUGUUGGCCGGGCGACGGUUGUCCCGGUUUAAGCGUGUAGGUGUGUGUUCCAGGUAAAUCCGGUUCACUUUAACACUGAGGCGUGACGACGAGGCACUACGGUGCUGA